AUGGUAAAAUUAUUUUGACCAUUGUUUCUUCUGAAAUAGCAUCACUUCUAUUAUCCGAUGGCCGAACGAUAUAUUCUAAAUUUAAAAUUUUGAUCUAAGUUGAUGACUACUCAAUAUAUGAAAUUAAAAAAGGUACAUAGCUCACAAAAUUGACUAAAUUAAUAUGUUUGAUAGUUUGAGAUGAAACUCCUAUGAAUCAUA
rnacentral:lncRNA from 1 species